rnacentral:lncRNA from 1 species
CGCACCGUGAGCGUCUGGGCCUCGGGACUACAAGAUCCAGCAUGCACAGAGCUCUGGGUCCUUAUGACAAAACCUUCUUGGCUAAAAAUACUGUCUGUCUAUACCAAGACAAACUGUGGUUAGGGGUGCGGAUUACAUCCUGGUGGAGCUUCUAGGGACGUGUGCAAUCAGUUUACACAUUCGGGUUCUUGUCAGGGAAUGAAAUACAGGACCUGCCUUUUAAGAAAUGUGGAGAGAGAUACUAAAUAAUGACAAAAUCUACGUGGAGUUAUUGGAGCGAUUUAUUCACCAUUCACUGGGACAGUCAAUCAGUGGAGAGGAAUGGGGUAUAUAUGUACCACAUGUGUGCCUGGUACCUGCAGAGCUCACUCAGAGGAAGGAAUCAGAGUCCCUGGAACUGGAGUUACAGAUGCCUCUGAGUCACCCUGUAGGUGCUGGGAAGUCAACCCCCAUCCUCUGCAAGAGUAGCCAGUGCUGGGCUGGCUCUCUGUAUUUCUUCACAAUUCAGUUUCUCAUUAAAAUUAAUGAAUGACUCUUUCUGUCCCUGUGCCUAACACCUAG